rnacentral:rRNA from 1 species
CAGCGACGCCGCGUGGGGGAUGAAGGCCUUCGGGUUGUAAACCCUUUCAGCAGGGAAGAAGCGAAAGUGACGGUACCUGCAGAAGAAGCGCCGGCUAACUACGUGCCAGCAGCCGCGGUAAUACGUAGGGCGCAAGCGUUGUCCGGAAUUAUUGGGCGUAAAGAGCUCGUAGGCGGUCUGUCGCGUCUGCUGUGAAAACCCGAGGCUCAACCUCGGGCCUGCAGUGGGUACGGGCAGACUAGAGUGUGGUAGGGGAGACUGGAAUUCCUGGUGUAGCGGUGGAAUGCGCAGAUAUCAGGAGGAACACCAAUGGCGAAGGCAGGUCUCUGGGCCACUACUGACGCUGAGGAGCGAAAGCAUGGGGAGCGAACAGGAUUAGAUACCCUGGUAGUCCAUGCCGUAAACGGUGGGCACUAGAUGUGGGGCUCUUUCCAUGAGUUCCGCGUCGCAGCUAACGCAUUAAGUGCCCCGCCUGGGGAGUACGGCCGCAAGGCUA